rnacentral:lncRNA from 1 species
ACUCCUUGAUUUGAAUUUCUAGCCUUUCCAUCAUAUUUUGUCCCCUAGGUCCUUGCCAUCUUGAGGUAGUGGAUCUGCUCUCAAAUAUUUUACCACACAUGGUGCUUAUUGAUUAUGAAAGCACAGACUUAACAUUAUCAAUUAGUCAUGCAUAAAAUAGAAGUUACAACUCAUUAUCCGUAAAUUCAAGCUCGUGGAAAUGACUAGUGUACAGAACCUAGAAACCUAAGCAAUGAUAUCAUGAAUGCACAAUAAAUAUGUACUUCGUUUUUAGUGUAC